GGCAAGGUGGUCGAGUGGUUAAGACGUAAGACUGUAUGUGCCAACUCCAUCAACUACCUUAAAAAGCAAGAUAUUAAUUAUACAACAGUGAAUUCCUCACGGAAGUUAUCUUAUCCCUUAGGGGUCGCGCGUUCAAAUCGCGUCCUUGUCG